GUCGAGCGGAAACGAGUUAUCUGAACCUUCGGGGAACGAUAACGGCGUCGAGCGGCGGACGGGUGAGUAAUGCCUAGGAAAUUGCCCUGAUGUGGGGGAUAACCAUUGGAAACGAUGGCUAAUACCGCAUGAUGCCUACGGGCCAAAGAGGGGGACCUUCGGGCCUCUCGCGUCAGGAUAUGCCUAGGUGGGAUUAGCUAGUUGGUGAGGUAAGGGCUCACCAAGGCGACGAUCCCUAGCUGGUCUGAGAGGAUGAUCAGCCACACUGGAACUGAGACACGGUCCAGACUCCUACGGGAGGCAGCAGUGGGGAAUAUUGCACAAUGGGCGCAAGCCUGAUGCAGCCAUGCCGCGUGUAUGAAGAAGGCCUUCGGGUUGUAAAGUACUUUCAGUCGUGAGGAAGGUGGUGGCGUUAAUAGCGGUAUUAUUUGACGUUAGCGACAGAAGAAGCACCGGCUAACUCCGUGCCAGCAGCCGCGGUAAUACGGAGGGUGCGAGCGUUAAUCGGAAUUACUGGGCGUAAAGCGCAUGCAGGUGGUUUGUUAAGUCAGAUGUGAAAGCCCGGGGCUCAACCUCGGAUAGCAUUUGAAACUGGCAGACUAGAGUACUGUAGAGGGGGGUAGAAUUUCAGGUGUAGCGGUGAAAUGCGUAAGAUCUGAAGGAUACCGGUGGCGAAGG
rnacentral:rRNA from 1 species